rnacentral:rRNA from 1 species
GAUGGACGCUGGCGGCGUGCUUAACACAUGCAAGUCGAACGGAAAGGCCCAAGCUUGCUUGGGUACUCGAGUGGCGAACGGGUGAGUAACACGUGGGUGAUCUGCCCUGCACUUCGGGAUAAGCCUGGGAAACUGGGUCUAAUACCGGAUAGGACCACUUCUUGGAUGUUGUGGUGGAAAGUUUUUUCGGUGUGGGAUGAGCUCGCGGCCUGUCAGCUUGUUGGUGGGGUAAUGGCCUACCAAGGCGUCGACGGGUAGCCGGCCUGAGAGGGUGUACGGCCACAUUGGGACUGAGAUACGGCCCAGACUCCUACGGGAGGCAGCAGUGGGGAAUAUUGCACAAUGGGCGCAAGCCUGAUGCAGCGACGCCGCGUGGGGGAUGACGGCCUUCGGGUUGUAAACUCCUUUCGCUAGGGACGAAGCGUUUUGUGACGGUACCUGGAGAAGAAGCACCGGCUAACUACGUG